rnacentral:rRNA from 1 species
UACGUAGGGUGCAAGCGUUGUCCGGAAUUAUUGGUCGUAAAGAGCUCGUAGGCGGUCUGUCGCGUCGGCUGUGAAAACCCGGGGCUCAACCCCGGGCCUGCAGUCGAUACGGGCAGACUAGAGUGCGGUAGGGGAGACUGGAAUUCCUGGUGUAGCGGUGAAAUGCGUAGAUAUGUGGAAGAAUACCGGUGGUGAAGACGGUUUUCUGUGCUAAGCCAGACGCUGAGGCGCGAAAGCUAGGGGAGCAAACAGG